UACGUAGGGGGCAAGCGUUGUCCGGAAUCAUUGGGCGUAAAGAGCGUGUAGGCGGCCCGGUAAGUCCGCUGUGAAAGUCUAGGGCUCAACCCUGGAAUGCCGGUGGAAACUGUCGGGCUAGAGUCCGGAAGAGGCGAGUGGAAUUCCUGGUGUAGCGGUGAAAUGCGCAGAUAUCAGGAGGAACACCGGUGGCGAAGGCGGGUCUCUGGGCCGAAACUGACGCUGAGGAGCGAAAGCGUGGGGAGCGAACAGG
rnacentral:rRNA from 1 species